rnacentral:rRNA from 1 species
UACGAAGGGGGCUAGCGUUGCUCGGAAUCACUGGGCGUAAAGGGUGCGUAGGCGGGUCUUUAAGUCAGGGGUGAAAUCCUGGAGCUCAACUCCAGAACUGCCUUUGAUACUGAGGAUCUUGAGUAUGGGAGAGGUGAGUGGAACUGCGAGUGUAGAGGUGAAAUUCGUAGAUAUUCGCAAGAACACCAGUGGCGAAGGCGGCUCACUGGCCCAUAACUGACGCUGAGGCACGAAAGCGUGGGGGAGCAAACAGG